rnacentral:rRNA from 1 species
UACAGAGGUCUCAAGCGUUGUUCGGAUUCAUUGGGCGUAAAGGGUGCGUAGGCGGCGUGGUAAGUCGGAUGUGAAAUCUCGGAGCUUAACUCCGAAACUGCAUUCGAUACUGCCGUGCUUGAGGACUGGAGAGGGGACUGGAAUUUACGGUGUAGCGGUGAAAUGCGUAGAUAUCGUAAGGAAGACCAGUGGCGAAGGCGGGUCUCUGGACAGUUCCUGACGCUGAGGCACGAAGGCCAGGGGAGCAAACGGG